rnacentral:hammerhead_ribozyme from 1 species
GCACUACUGACUAAUCCCAAACAGGAUGAAACAGCUGUCCAGUGC